GGGGAUGCACCGGGUUCGAUUGUAAUUGUUGGAUCUGGAGCUUGCAUGCAAUGGUGCGGGGCCAUUUCAAAAUCCGCAAACAAUAAACGCAAAACCUAAUUUUGCAAUGGCAGCCUAAACUGCCACGGUCGCCGGAGGAGUCCGUCCCAUACUACGAAGGAUGACCGUUGCCUAAAUGGGAAUAGACAGAGCGACACCUUUAAGUUCUGUCGAAAUCUUUAAAGGUUGCCGACACACAAUGUUUAUCUUUUUUCGGUGUGUGUCGAAAGCUCAGAAAAUUGAUGAAGCAUGUAAUUCGGGCACAGGUGCUGAUUGUAAGACGCGGGUUCGACUCCCGCCAUCUCCAUUU
rnacentral:tmRNA from 1 species